rnacentral:tRNA from 1 species
GGUGGGCUAGCUCAGUGGGUAGAGCUUAGGGCUCGCGACCAAGAGGUCCAGGUUCAAAUCUCGCACGA